rnacentral:rRNA from 1 species
AGGGAAUCUUCGGCAAUGGACGGAAGUCUGACCGAGCAACGCCGCUUGAGUGAAGAAGGUUUUCGGAUCGUAAAGCUCUGUUGUAAGAGAAGAACGAGUGUGAGAGUGGAAAGUUCACACUGUGACGGUAUCUUACCAGAGGGGGACGGCUAACUACGUGCCAGCAGCCGCGGUAAUACGUAGGUCCCGAGCGUUGUCCGGAUUUAUUGGGCGUAAAGCGAGCGCAGGCGGUUAGAUAAGUCUGAAGUUAAAGGCUGUGGCUUAACCAUAGUACGCUUUGGAAACUGUUUAACUUGAGUGCAAGAGGGGAGAGUGGAAUUCCAUGUGUAGCGGUGAAAUGCGUAGAUAUAUGGAGGAACACCGGUGGCGAAAGCGGCUCUCUGGCUUGUAACUGACGCUGAGGCUCGAAAGCGUGGGGAGCAAACAGGAUUAGAUACCCUGGUAGUCCACGCCGUAAACGAUGAGUGCUAGGUGUUAGACCCUUUCCGGGGUUUAGUGCCGCAGCUAACGCAUUAAGCACUCCGCCUGGGGAGUACGACCGCAAGGUUG